UGACCUGAGCGGGUAACUGCUGGUCGAGACAAUUUCGUCUGGAGGAAAGUCCGGACACUCCCAUACGUUUGUAUGGAGCAGGGUAGCGGGUAACACCCGUCCGUCGCAAGACGAGGGAUGCGAGCAGAGACGUCGGAACCGAGAGGGGACGAUACCUUUCUAAGGUAAGUGUGUGCGGUGACGUACACGGUGAAACGGCUAAAUUCCUAUCUGAGUGCAAGGUCGUGCUGUGACUUUUUGUUGCAGAGUGCCGCAUGAGCACGUCGGUAACGGUGUGCCAAGAUAGAUGGUUACUGCCCAGCAAUGGGUACAGAAUCCGGCUUAUACCUCAGGUCAUACG
rnacentral:RNase_P_RNA from 1 species